rnacentral:lncRNA from 1 species
UCCAAGCCAUCCCGUAAGGUCUGCAAGUGCCCGUUCCGCUUCCGCAUCAUCGGCUCCGGCCUCCAGGCCAAGUGAGACUCCCUCUUCGCCGCUGUCUCCGCCGCCGCCUCCCUUGCCCUCGACCUCCAUCUAUGUUUCUUCCCCACCGUCGCCGCCCGCGAGAGGAUCCAAAGGAGAAAGGGUCUCGGCCGCGCUCCACCGACCACGUCGCCGAGCCACCGCCGGCCUCGGCACUCUUCCGGUUCCGCCAGCCUCGCGGGAGGAGAAGGAGGGAGGAGAAGAAAGAAGAAAGAAGAAGGGGCAUCGGGAAGAAGAGAA